AGCGGCGGAGCAUGCGGAUUAACUCGAUGCAACGCGAAGAACCUUACCAAGGCUUGACAUACACCAGAACACCGUAGAAAUACGGGACUCUUUGGACACUGGUGAACAGGUGGUGCAUGGUUGUCGUCAGCUCGUGUCAUGAGAUGUUGGGUUAAGUCCCGCAACGAGCGCAACCCUCGUUCUAUGUUGCCAGCACGUAAUGGUGGGAACUCAUGGGAUACUGCCGGGGUCAACUCGGAGGAAGGUGGGGAUGACGUCAAAUCAUCAUGCCCCUUACGUCUUGGGCUUCACGCAUGCUACAAUGGCCGGUACAAAGGGCUGCAAUACCGUGAGGUGGAGCGAAUCCCAAAAAGCCGGUCCCAGUUCGGAUUGAGGUCUGCAACUCGACCUCAUGAAGUCGGAGUCGCUAGUAAUCGCAGAUCAGCAACGCUGCGGUGAAUACGUUCCCGGGUCUUGUACACACCGCCCGUCAAGUCAUGAAAGUCGGUAACACCUGAAGCCGGUGGCCCAACCCUUGUGGAGGGAGCCGUCGAAGGUGGGAUCGGUAAUUAGGACUAAGUCGUAACAAGGUAGCCGUACCGGAAGGUGCGGCUGGAUCACCUCCUU
rnacentral:rRNA from 1 species